GCCGAAGUGGCGGAACUGGCAGACGCGCCGGACUCAAAAUCCGGUGGGGGAAACCCCGUGUGGGUUCAAGUCCCACCUUCGGCA
rnacentral:tRNA from 1 species